UACGUAGGGUGCAGGCGUUAAUCGGAAUUACUGGGCGUAAAGCGUGCGCAGGCGGUUUGUUAAGACAGAUGUGAAAUCCCCGGGCUUAACCUGGGAACUGCGUUUGUAACUGGCAAGCUAGAGUGUGGCAGAGGGGGGUGGAAUUCCACGUGUAGCAGUGAAAUGCGUAGAGAUGUGGAGGAACACCGAUGGCGAAGGCAGCCUUCUGGGCCAACACUGACGCUCAUGCACGAAAGCGUGGGGAGCAAACAGG
rnacentral:rRNA from 1 species